ACGAUGGUGAGGAACUCCUCCGGAUAAAGAGUGCACUCGUUAAGUUCUCCAAGUAUAACCCAGCAGGAGGAAGAUGAGCCAGACAACAAAUAGCCUGGAGACCACCUGGGGCAUAGUAAAGAAGACGCCUGAAGCCUGAGAACGUCUUUCUUGCCAUGCUAGCAGUAAUCAUCUGUACG